GUCAGGAUGGCCGAGUGGUCUAAGGCGCCAAACUCAAGUUCUGGUCCUCUAAAGAGGGUGUGUGUUCAAAUCCCACUUCUGACA
rnacentral:tRNA from 1 species